rnacentral:lncRNA from 1 species
UCCAAUCAUGUGGAAUAGACACAGAGGAAACAGACAAGACAAAUACUCUAUAGGAAUGAGAUAGAAAGUCAAGGAAACAAAGUUAAAUAUAGGGUGCUUUGUUCAAGUUCUCGUUUCUUUUCUAACAGCAAUAGGUUUGUUUGAUAAAUUACAAAAGGAAGAGAACUCACCAGUAUCUUCUGGAACUAGAGAAGAUUCUUGACCUGAGAUAGACUGCAUGAUGGCUUUUUCGGACU